UACGAAGGGGGCUAGCGUUGCUCGGAAUCACUGGGCGUAAAGCGCACGUAGGCGGAUUGUUAAGUCAGGGGUGAAAUCCUGGAGCUCAACUCCAGAACUGCCUUUGAUACUGACGGUCUUGAGUCCGGGAGAGGUGAGUGGAACUCCGAGUGUAGAGGUGAAAUUCGUAGAUAUUCGGAAGAACACCAGUGGCGAAGGCGGCUCACUGGCCCGGUACUGACGCUGAGGCACGAAAGCGUGGGGAGCAAACAGG
rnacentral:rRNA from 1 species